CUGCUGCCUUCCGUAGGAGUUUGGGCCGUGUCUCAGUCCCAAUGUGGCCGUCCACCCUCUCAGGCCGGCUACUGAUCGUCGCUUUGGUGGGCCGUUACCCCGCCAACUGGCUAAUCAGACGCGGGCCCAUCCUGCACCGCCGCAGCUUUCAAAAAUAUAUCAUGCAAUAUAUUUUAUUAUGCGGUAUUAGCACCUAUUUCUAAGUGUUAUCCCCCGGUAUACGGCAGGUUAUCCACGCGUUACUCACCCGUCCGCCA
rnacentral:rRNA from 1 species